AACAGCUCCUUCUGGCAGUGUCCCUCUGCUUCCUGGAAUCCGCAGUCAUGUGAUGACCUCCGAGAAGAGACCCACAUCACCUGCAAUGAAAGGCCGCAGGUGGCUGCAUGCCCCAACUCCACCAGCUGCACAGACAGGGAGAAGAUCCGUGCUGUGGGAGGCAAGGACGACUGCUCGGGCAGAGUGGAGAUCUGGCACCGUGGCACCUGGGGGACACUGUGUGACAAUGCCUGGGACAUGUGGGAUGCCGAGGUGGCGUGCAGGCAGCUGGGCUGUGGCCCCGCGCUCUAUGCCCUGGGCCAGGCUGCUGCUGGAGAGGGGACGGGCCC